UACGUAGGUGGCAAGCGUUGUCCGGAUUUAUUGGGUUUAAAGGGUGCGUAGGCGGUUCCUUAAGUCAGUUGUGAAAUACGGCAGCUUAACUGUCGAGGUGCAAUUGAUACUGGGGAACUAGAGUACUGAUGAGGUAUGCGGAAUGGACGGUGUAGCGGUGAAAUGCUUAGAUAUCGUCCAGAACACCGAUAGCGAAGGCAGCAUACUAAGGAGUAACUGACGCUGAGGCACGAAAGUGUGGGGAUCAAACAGG
rnacentral:rRNA from 1 species